rnacentral:rRNA from 1 species
UCUACGGGAGGCAGCAGUAGGGAAUAUUGCUCACUGGGGGAAACCCUGAAGCAGCAACGCCGCGUGGAGGAAGAAGGUUUUAGGAUUGUAAACCCCUUUUGUGAGAGAAGAUAAUGACGGUAUCUCACGAAUAAGCACCGGCUAACUCCGUGCCAGCAGCCGCGGUAUUACGGGGGGUGCACGCGUUACUCGGAUUCACUGGGCGUAAAUAGUGCGCAGGCGGGCUUGUAAUGCAGAUGUGAACUCCGGUAGCUUAACUAGAGAACUGCAUUUGACACUAUGCGUCUAGAGUGUGGGAGAGGUAGGUGGAAUUCGUGGUGUAGGGGUAAAAUCCGUAGAUAUCAAGAAGAAUACUCAUUGCGAAGGCGACCUACUGGAACAUUACUGACGCUCAUGCACGAAAGCGUGGGGAGCAAACAGGAUUAGAUACCCGGGUAGUC